UACCAGCACCCCGAGUGGUCGGGACGUUUAUUGGGCCUAAAGCAUCCGUAGCCGGUUCUACAGUCUUCCGUUAAAUCCAACUGCUUAACAGGUGGGCUGCGGAAGAUACUAUAGAGCUAGGAGGCGGGAGAGGCAAGCGGUACUCGAUGGGUAGGGGUAAAAUCCGUUGAUCCAUUGAAGACCACCAGUGGCGAAGGCGGCUUGCCAGAACGCGCUCGACGGUGAGGGAUGAAAGCUGGGGGAGCAAACCGG
rnacentral:rRNA from 1 species